GCAAACUUGGUCAUUUAGAGGAAGUAAAAGUCGUAACAAGGUUUCCGUAGGUGAACCUGCGGAAGGAUCAUUAUAAGAGAGAAGGAGGGUAGAACUCCUUUUUUUAACACUUGUGAACAGUGGUGAGUAAAUAUUUUCUUCAUUCACACAUGUUGUGGAUGGAGAAAAGUUUGAAUGUGAUAAAAACACGAGAUUUUAACAUAAUAAUGAUUGAUUACAAUAUAAUAUUAUAAAUGACAACUUUCAACAAUGGAUCUCUUGGCUCUCGCAUCGAUGAAGAACGCAGC
rnacentral:misc_RNA from 1 species